rnacentral:rRNA from 1 species
GAGGGGGACAACAGUUGGAAACGACUGCUAAUACCGCAUACGAUCUAACCUCGGCAUCGAGGAUGGAUGAAAGGUGGCCUCUAUUUAUAAGCUAUCACUGAAGGAGGGGAUUGCGUCUGAUUAGCUAGUUGGAGGGGUAACGGCCCACCAAGGCGAUGAUCAGUAGCCGGUCUGAGAGGAUGAACGGCCACAUUGGGACUGAGACACGGCCCAG